rnacentral:lncRNA from 1 species
GGCAAGUUAAAGGCGAAUUUGAGGCGCGAGUCCCGACCAUGGCAAAAUAUCUUCGGAAGGUGAGAGAUCUCGUGGCACACCUCAAGUAUUUCGAGAUCUCUCACAUUCUCAGGUCGGAGAACGCUCGGGCUGAUGCACUCUCCAAGCUUGCGACAUCAGCCUACGACAUCUUGGAUCGGACGUUUAUGGAGAGUCUCGAGCAG